rnacentral:rRNA from 1 species
AAAUUGAAGAGUUUGAUCAUGGCUCAGAUUGAACGCUGGCGGCAGGCCUAACACAUGCAAGUCGAGCGGUAGCACAGAGAGCUUGCUCUCGGGUGACGAGCGGCGGACGGGUGAGUAAUGUCUGGGAAACUGCCUGAUGGAGGGGGAUAACUACUGGAAACGGUAGCUAAUACCGCAUAACGUCGCAAGACCAAAGUGGGGGACCUUCGGGCCUCAUGCCAUCAGAUGUGCCCAGAUGGGAUUAGCUAGUAGGUGGGGUAACGGCUCACCUAGGCGACGAUCCCUAGCUGGUCUGAGAGGAUGACCAGCCACACUGGAACUGAGACACGGUCCAGACUCCUACGGGAGGCAGCAGUGGGGAAUAUUGCACAAUGGGCGCAAGCCUGAUGCAGCCAUGCCGCGUGUAUGAAGAAGGCCUUCGGGUUGUAAAGUACUUUCAGCGGGGAGGAAGGCGAUAAGGUUAAUAACCUUGUCGAUUGACGUUACCCGCAGAAGAAGCACCGGCUAACUCCGUGCCAGCAGCCGCGGUAAUACGGAGGGUGCAAGCGUUAAUCGGAAUUACUGGGCGUAAAGCGCACGCAGGCGGUCUGUCAAGUCGGAUGUGAAAUCCCCGGGCUCAACCUGGGAACUGCAUUCGAAACUGGCAGGCUAGAGUCUUGUAGAGGGGGGUAGAAUUCCAGGUGUAGCGGUGAAAUGCGUAGAGAUCUGGAGGAAUACCGGUGGCGAAGGCGGCCCCCUGGACAAAGACUGACGCUCAGGUGCGAAAGCGUGGGGAGCAAACAGGAUUAGAUACCCUGGUAGUCCACGCCGUAAACGAUGUCGAUUUGGAGGUUGUGCCCUUGAGGCGUGGCUUCCGGAGCUAACGCGUUAAAUCGACCGCCUGGGGAGUACGGCCGCAAGGUUAAAACUCAAAUGAAUUGACGGGGGCCCGCACAAGCGGUGGAGCAUGUGGUUUAAUUCGAUGCAACGCGAAGAACCUUACCUGGUCUUGACAUCCACAGAACUUAGCAGAGAUGCUUUGGUGCCUUCGGGAACUGUGAGACAGGUGCUGCAUGGCUGUCGUCAGCUCGUGUUGUGAAAUGUUGGGUUAAGUCCCGCAACGAGCGCAACCCUUAUCCUUUGUUGCCAGCGGUUCGGCCGGGAACUCAAAGGAGACUGCCAGUGAUAAACUGGAGGAAGGUGGGGAUGACGUCAAGUCAUCAUGGCCCUUACGACCAGGGCUACACACGUGCUACAAUGGCAUAUACAAAGAGAAGCGACCUCGCGAGAGCAAGCGGACCUCAUAAAGUAUGUCGUAGUCCGGAUUGGAGUCUGCAACUCGACUCCAUGAAGUCGGAAUCGCUAGUAAUCGUAGAUCAGAAUGCUACGGUGAAUACGUUCCCGGGCCUUGUACACACCGCCCGUCACACCAUGGGAGUGGGUUGCAAAAGAAGUAGGUAGCUUAACCUUCGGGAGGGCGCUUACCACUUUGUGAUUCAUGACUGGGGUGAAGUCGUAACAAGGUAACCGUAGGGGAACCUGCGGUUGGAACACCUCCUUACCUUAAAGAA